AUUGAACGCUGGCGGCAUGCCUACGCAUGCAAGUCGAACGGCAGCAUGAUCUAGCUUGCUAGAUUGAUGGCGAGUGGCGAACGGGUGAGUAAUACAUCGGAACGUGCCCUGUAGUGGGGGAUAACUAGUCGAAAGAUUUGCUAAUACCGCAUACGACCUGAGGGUGAAAGUGGGGGACCGCAAGGCCUCAUGCUAUAGGAGCGGCCGAUGUCUGAUUAGCUAGUUGGUGAGGUAAAGGCUCACCAAGGCGACGAUCAGUAGCUGGUCUGAGAGGACGAUCAGCGACACUGGGACUGAGACACGGCCCAGACUCCUACGGGAGGCAGCAGUGGGGAAUUUUGGACAAUGGGGGCAACCCUGAUCCAGCAAUGCCGCGUGUGUGAAGAAGGCCUUCGGGUUGUAAAGCACUUUUGUCCGGAAAGAAAUCGCACUUACUAAUAUUAGGUGUGGAUGACGGUACCGGAAGAAUAAGGACCGGCUAACUACGUGCCAGCCGCCGCGGUAACAC
rnacentral:rRNA from 1 species